rnacentral:rRNA from 1 species
CCUAACACAUGCAAGUCGAGCGGUAGCACAGAGAGCUUGCUCUCGGGUGACGAGCGGCGGACGGGUGAGUAAUGUCUGGGAAACUGCCUGAUGGAGGGGGAUAACUACUGGAAACGGUAGCUAAUACCGCAUAACGUCGCAAGACCAAAGUGGGGGACCUUCGGGCCUCAUGCCAUCAGAUGUGCCCAGAUGGGAUUAGCUAGUAGGUGGGGUAACGGCUCACCUAGGCGACGAUCCCUAGCUGGUCUGAGAGGAUGACCAGCCACACUGGAACUGAGACACGGUCCAGACUCCUACGGGAGGCAGCAGUGGGGAAUAUUGCACAAUGGGCGCAAGCCUGAUGCAGCCAUGCCGCGUGUGUGAAGAAGGCCUUCGGGUUGUAAAGCACUUUCAGCGGGGAGGAAGGCGUUAAGGUUAAUAACCUUGGCGAUUGACGUUACCCGCAGAAGAAGCACCGGCUAACUCCGUGCCAGCAGCCGCGGUAAUACGGAGGGUGCAAGCGUUAAUCGGAAUUACUGGGCGUAAAGCGCACGCAGGCGGUCUGUCAAGUCGGAUGUGAAAUCCCCGGGCUCAACCUGGGAACUGCAUUCGAAACUGGCAGGCUAGAGUCUUGUAGAGGGGGGUAGAAUUCCAGGUGUAGCGGUGAAAUGCGUAGAGAUCUGGAGGAAUACCGGUGGCGAAGGCGGCCCCCUGGACAAAGACUGACGCUCAGGUGCGAAAGCGUGGGGAGCAAACAGGAUUAGAUACCCUGGUAGUCCACGCCGUAAACGAUGUCGAUUUGGAGGUUGUGCCCUUGAGGCGUGGCUUCCGGAGCUAACGCGUUAAAUCGACCGCCUGGGGAGUACGGCCGCAAGGUUAAAACUCAAAUGAAUUGACGGGGGCCCGCACAAGCGGUGGAGCAUGUGGUUUAAUUCGAUGCAACGCGAAGAACCUUACCUGGUCUUGACAUCCACAGAACUUUCCAGAGAUGGAUUGGUGCCUUCGGGAACUGUGAGACAGGUGCUGCAUGGCUGUCGUCAGCUCGUGUUGUGAAAUGUUGGGUUAAGUCCCGCAACGAGCGCAACCCUUAUCCUUUGUUGCCAGCGGUUCGGCCGGGAACUCAAAGGAGACUGCCAGUGAUAAACUGGAGGAAGGUGGGGAUGACGUCAAGUCAUCAUGGCCCUUACGACCAGGGCUACACACGUGCUACAAUGGCAUAUACAAAGAGAAGCGACCUCGCGAGAGCAAGCGGACCUCAUAAAGUAUGUCGUAGUCCGGAUUGGAGUCUGCAACUCGACUCCAUGAAGUCGGAAUCGCUAGUAAUCGUAGAUCAGAAUGCUACGGUGAAUACGUUCCCGGGCCUUGUACACACCGCCCGUCACACCAUGGGAGUGGGUUGCAAAAGAAGUAGGUAGCUUAACCUUCGGGAGGGCGCUUACCACUUUGUGAUUCAUGACUGGGGUGAAAU